rnacentral:rRNA from 1 species
UACGUAGGGGGCAAGCGUUGUCCGGAAUUAUUGGGCGUAAAGCGCGCGCAGGCGGUCGUUUAAGUCUGGUGUUUAAGCCCGGGGCUCAACCCCGGUUCGCAUCGGAAACUGGAUGACUUGAGUGUAAGAGAGGAAAGUGGAAUUCCACGUGUAGCGGUGAAAUGCGUAGAUAUCGAGAGGAACACCUGCGGCGAAGGCGGGUUGCUGGGCUGACACUGACGCUGAGGCGCGAAAGCUAGGGGAGCGAACAGG